AGUGAACGCUGGCGGUAGGCCUAACACAUGCCAGUCGAACGGCAGCACAGUAAGAGCUUGCUCUUACGGGUGGCGAGUGGCGGACGGGUGAGGAAUACAGCGGAAUCUACUUUUUCGUGGGGGAUAACGUAGGGAAACUUACGCUAAUACCGCAUACGACCUACGGGUGAAAGCAGGGGAUCUUCGGACCUUGCGCGAUUGAAUGAGCCGAUGUCGGAUUAGCUAGUUGGCGGGGUAAAGGCCCACCAAGGCGACGAUCCGUAGCUGGUCUGAGAGGAUGAUCAGCCACACUGGAACUGAGACACGGUCCAGACUCCUACGGGAGGCAGCAGUGGGGAAUAUUGGACAAUGGGCGCAAGCCUGAUCCAGCCAUACCGCGUGGGUGAAGAAGGCCUUCGGGUUGUAAAGCCCUUUUGUUGGGAAAGAAAAGCAGCAGGUUAAUACCCCGCUGUUCUGACGGUACCCAAAGAAUAAGCACCGGCUAACUUCGUG
rnacentral:rRNA from 1 species